rnacentral:rRNA from 1 species
UGGGGAAUAUUGCACAAUGGGCGCAAGCCUGAUGCAGCGACGCCGCGUGUGGGAUGGAGGCCUUCGGGUUGUAAACCGCUUUUGUUCAAGGGCAAGGCACGGCUUCGGGCCGUGUUGAGUGGAUUGUUCGAAUAAGCACCGGCUAACUACGUGCC